rnacentral:rRNA from 1 species
UUUAUGGAGAGUUUGAUCCUGGCUCAGGAUGAACGCUGGCGGCGUGCCUAAUACAUGCAAGUCGAGCGAACAGACGAGGAGCUUGCUCCUUUGACGUUAGCGGCGGACGGGUGAGUAACACGUAGGUAACCUACCUAUAAGACUGGGAUAACUUCGGGAAACCGGAGCUAAUACCGGAUAAUAUUUCGAACCGCAUGGUUCGAUAGUGAAAGAUGGCUUUGC